rnacentral:rRNA from 1 species
UACAGAGGUCCCAAGCGUUGUUCGGAUUCACUGGGCGUAAAGGGUGCGUAGGCGGUCGGGUAAGUCUGACGUGAAAUCUCCAAGCUCAACUUGGAAAUGGCGUCGGAUACUAUUCGGCUUGAGGAAUGGAGGGGAGACUGGAAUUCUCGGUGUAGCAGUGAAAUGCGUAGAUAUCGAGAGGAACACCAGUGGCGAAGGCGAGUCUCUGGACACUUCCUGACACUGAGGCACGAAAGCCAGGGGAGCAAACGGG